rnacentral:lncRNA from 1 species
CAGCCCCUCCGGGCCACCAGCGGCUGUCACUGACAUCCCUGGAGUUCGUGCUGUGGUCACAGAGAUCAUUGAUCACACAUUCUGUUCAUACCUCUCUGCUCUUGUGUGAAUACCGUGGACUUCACUGAUGAAAUACAAGAUGGAAGAUUAAAUUAUUAAGGAGUCCACAGUGGCAACAGCAGAACAUUACAAGAGCAUUCGCAGGUCUCACAUGAAGCUGCCUCUACCUGCAACUGACACAUUUAUCUGAGUCUUUACAAUGGCUGGAAAGUGGGUAAAGUUCCAUUCGUCCCUGAGUCCCGACAGCCCAGCAUGUUAAUUAAGCUUCCACCCAUAUUCAGAUAUAACACUUGAGGCUCCAGCAGGACAAACAUCCCUCUCAGAAGCACAGCACUUGUCACUCAAGCACAUGUCCCACCCAAGUGCAGAUGCCAACAGCCUAGCCAGAGACCGCGGCCUAUCCUCUAACUACCUUCAGCUGCACAGCAUAGGUCAUGAGGAGACUCUGAGCCCUCUUGCCCUCUGGCGCCUGGAGAGAUAUCACUCACCUGGUUCAUCCGGUCAAAGGAGAAGCCCUUUUAUUCCCGAGCACCACCCAGCCUCUGCCCAUGUCAGCAAUGAGGAAGGACAGCCGGAGAGAGGAAGGGACAGCUCCACAUUGGUGUUUGUGUAUGCAGAGAAGGAAGUGUGUGCAGGGGAGGCAGAAGAGUGUGGAAAGCUGCAACUUGGAGAGGGAAGGAUAGGUAAAUAACACUGUCUCAAGGUUCCCAGAGAAUCCUGGAUGGUCACGCUGCCCAGUGGCUUUUCAUAGCCUGGGAAGGGAGGCGAAUUCUCAGCCCCCUCACUUCCUCUUUAUGCACAACAAAGCUAGAUAUUCUUCUGGCUCCCUGUUAACCAUUGGAAGAGGGGUGUGUCAAAUGAGGGCAGUCUAUCUCCCCAGCAUGAGGGUCCUGAGACACCCCAGUUGCCAGCCCCUGUGAGGACGAUCUAUUCAGUGGUGGGUGAAGACAACAGUUCAGGGUGCGGUGAUGAAUUUUACCACAAACACUCCUGUUUACAGAAAAAUUCCGGUGCCCAUCACUUAGGGUUUAGUGAAGAGUAUUUCAUAGCUCCCGAUGGACCACUCCAGAUGGCCUCCUGGCUGGAAGGAGGAAGGAAGGCAGUGACUUAAGGUAGUAGGUUCACAGUUCUAAUCUCCUCAGUGAUUCACAUCCUCGGGAUCUCACGCUUCUCUGGCUCAGCGUCCUCUGCCUCACAGUGCCUGUGGGGAGCUCCUGUUGGCUCCACAGCUAAGGGCAUGGCGCCUGUGCCUUUCCAGCCUUCCCUGUGGGUUCUGUUGCUGCUUUUCUCUGGACAUAUUGUUUGGGAGCAGCAGGACAUACUGAAUGCACUGUGAGGAUAUGCCAAUGCGCUGUUAAUGCCCUGCUGCUGACAAAAGAAGACAAGGGGGAGCUCUGCGGGUAGAUAGAUAGGCAUCACAUUUCACGUGACACACGUCGACUCUUGAGAACCCAGCAGCCACUCUUAGAUCCAGAAGCAUGCUAGCUUAUGUCAGGAUAAGCAAGAACUCUCCCCAAGUGGCUAUUUGUCCUCUUCUCUAUGAGUGGUCCUCCUUUCUAGCCUCAGCAGUAGCUGCUGGCCCUUGGAGAACAAUAAAAGUAUCAUUCCCUCUUAACAUGGGGAUGCUUUGUUACAAAGUGGGUUUGUGCUUCAGGUCAAGUCUAUCCGACCAGAUCUGAGGCAAAGCACAGGAAAAGCAGGCACUUUGGGCUGGCAUGCAGCGCAUAAAAACGGGGGCUGAGCAUGUAGCUCAGCUGGUAGAGCCCUUGCCUGACAGCUAUGAGGCCCUGGGUUUGAUCCGCAGCACUGUAUAAACCCAGUGUGGUGGUGUAUGCCUAAAA